rnacentral:lncRNA from 1 species
GAGAAUCUGGAAGAAGCCGCUGCCUGCAUGCACAAGGAACCGUCACUCCAUGACUGUUUCUUGGGAAAGGAAAUGUUCCUUUGACAAGCAUUGGAGCAAACAUCCCCCUCGGACCUGUGGAGAGCGCAACUGCAGUUCUUAUGGUAAGGCCUUCGCUCAAUUUCAGAGUCCCGCAUUGACAGGCUUCCUUCAAACACACACUGAAACAUCAUCCCAGCAACUCCUGCGCUAGUCAUUCUAUUCUUCUCUCUUCUCUGAGUCUCUUACGUAUUUAUGUUAAGGCUGGC